GUCCUAGCCGUAAACGAUGUGCACUAGGUGUCUGGCCCUAUGGGCUAGGUGCCGCAGUUAACACUUUAAGUGCACCACCUGGGGAGUACGGUCGCAAGACUGAAACUCAAAGGAAUUGACGGGGACCCCGCACAAGCGGUGGAGCAUGUGGUUUAAUACGACGCUACGCGUGGAACCUUACCAAGGCUUGACAUGUAUUUGAAAUCGUGGUGAAAGCCAUGACCUGUCCUAAAGACACAAUUACACAGGUGUUGCAUGGCUGUCGU
rnacentral:rRNA from 1 species